rnacentral:rRNA from 1 species
GACGAACGCUGGCGGCGUGCUUAACACAUGCAAGUCGAACGGAGAAUUUUAUUUCGGUAGAAUUCUUAGUGGCGAACGGGUGAGUAACGCGUAGACAACCUGCCUCUUAGAUGGGGACAACAUCGCGAAAGCGGUGCUAAUACCGAAUGAAGUGGAGCUUCCGCACGGAAGCAUCACCAAAGGUGGCCUCUAUUUAUAAGCUACCACUGAGAGAUGGGUCUGCGUCUGAUUAGCUAGUUGGCGGGGUAAUGGCCCACCAAGGCGACGAUCAGUAGCCGGUCGGAGAGGAGGAACGGACACAUUGGGACUGAGAAACGGCCCAAACUCCUACGGGAGGCAGCAGUGGGGAAUCUUCCGCAAUGGACGAAAGUCUGACGGAGCAACGCCGCGUGAGUGAAGAAGGUUUUCGGAUCGUAAAGCUCUGUUGUUUGAGACGAAUGUACAGACUUUGAAUAAGGGUUUGUAAUGACGGUAUUAAACGAGAAAGCCACGGCUAACUACGUGCCAGCCGCCGCGGUAA